rnacentral:rRNA from 1 species
AGCAUAUCACUGAGCGCAGGAGAAGAAACUAACCAGGAUUUCCCUAGUAACGGCGAGCGAACCGGAAAGAGCCCAGCUUGAAAAUCGUGGCGCCCCGGCGCCUCGAAUUGUAGUCUGGAGAAGGUCCCUCUGCGGCGCGCCGGAUUCAAGUUCCCUGGAAUGGGACGCCGAGGGUGAGACCCCGGUUCCGGAGUGCGUCGCUCCACGAGGACCUGUCUGCGAGUCGGGCUGUUUGGGAAUGCAGCCCUAAGCGGGUGGUAAAUUCCAUCCAAGGCUAAAUAUUGGCAAGAGACCGAUAGCGAACAAGUACCGCGAGGGAAAGAUGAAAAGGACUUUGAAAAGAGAGUUAAAAAGUGCUUGAAAUUGCUGGGAGGGAAGCGAAUGGAAGCUGCGGGUGCGCCCCGGUUGGAUGUGGAACGGCGUCAAAGCUGGUCCGCCGCUCAACGCGGGGCGCUGGUCAGCGUGGGCCGUCGCGGCGGGACAAGAGCGGGGAUUCGCUUCCCGCCGAUGCCGCCGCGGUGGCCGAGGAACGAAGCGCGCGCUGGCGUGGGACUGUCCCAACUGCGCGCUCGAGACGCUGGCGUAUUGAGCUCUUCAUCCGACCCGUCUUGAAACACGGACCAAGGAGUCUAACAUGUAUGCGAGCCGGUGGGCGGCAAACCCAUUGAGGCGCAAGUAACCUGACAGGUGGGACCCCGACCAAGGGAGGGAGCACCAUCGACCGACCGUGAUCUUCUGUGAAGGGUUC